AGCCAUCUAGAUUAAGGGAUUUCUUAAUUAUUUUCUUUCUUAUCUCACACUCCACUCAUUAAGUUGGAGCACGCUGAGAUGAUGAUGGUACCCGAUGUGAGCGCUGUAAGACUAAGAGGAAGACCACUAAUGGGAUGGAUGGAUAAUGUGAAUCUGUAAAGAGAAUUGGGAUGCAGGAGCAGUUGUAAGCACAUAAAUGGUGAUGCAACCUAAAGGAACUUUACAGUAGGCUCAUCUAUAACUAAUCCAAUCUGCUAAUCAGGAUAGAUAUGGGGUAAGAGGAGCGAUCUAUUGUAAUGUAGGUAGUAGGAGUAAACCAGCUUCUGCUAUCUGUCCCUAAUGCACAAGCAACCCUCACACAGUGUGGGCAGUGCCAGUGGGGAUUGGUUAUCUCCUUCCUGGAAGCUAAGAGGCUAAGAUGUGAGGAAAUACUUGUGGGUAAGAUUGUAUGUACAUGUGGCACUUGGUUGAAAUGUUUUAAAUUACAUCAGUAUCUGUUACAGAUUAUUACUGGAUGUAAAAUGUGUGUGUCCCACAUCAUUAUUCCUCUGUAAUCAUAAGUGAGAUGUUCAAUAGUUUCCUACUUGCAUGAAAACAUAUAUAAUACACAUAAGUAGCAGUACUCAAUUCUAUAUAAAGUCUCAAGCCGAUACUCAAUUGUUAGUAGAGUGUGGUUCACCCACUGACCGCCCGCGGGCGUCUCCGCGUCACUUACUCAGUGGUGGCGGCCACAUGAAGACGAGCAGGGAGGUGUCCGAGUUCCCACUGUCUCUCCUACCUCGUCAAUAAAUGUCGGAGAUUGAAUUGCCUUUCCUCGACCCUGCGAUGAUGGGUGUGAUCAGUGAAACAGAUCACCAGAGAGCUAAUGAAGAACUCCUACAGUAAGAACUCGACCCUACAAGCAAGAAAUUGGCCCCAUUUGAGAUCGUCGGCAGUGAGUCACGGGGCGAAGGGACGCUGACAUAAGCCUAUCAGUUGACCUCUGAGGCCCCGGGGUCAGCUCUACCCUUGACGACAACCACUCCCUUCUACCUACAGUGCCUCGCCACCAUUUUGUUGAACCCAUGGUCACAGGCAAGAAAAUAUUGUCUGGGCCCUCAAUUCCUGUUGCAGCUGCCUCAACUUGACCCCACAACAGUGACUGGUGGAUGUAUGAAGAAAUGGCUGCAGUACGGCAACCAACCCAAAGGAAUGAUGAACAGCUGGGUGAGCAAUGCACCAACUGCCCCAGCCUGGAUCAAAACCACAACCCAAAGAUCCACUGCCAGGUGCCAGCCACUGCACCACAAUAACCAGCAUAUUGUUCCAACAUCCUCAAUAAUCGAACGAAAAUCACUUGAAAACUGGAUUAUUUCCAUUCUCAGUCACUUCAAUUUAUGUGUAUCAAGACACUAUGGGAUGUUCACUGUAUUUUAUCUAAUUACCAGC